rnacentral:rRNA from 1 species
AAAUUGAAGAGUUUGAUCAUGGCUCAGAUUGAACGCUGGCGGCAGGCCUAACACAUGCAAGUUGAACGGUAACAGGAAGCAGCUUGCUGCUUUGCUGACGAGUGGCGGACGGGUGAGUAAUGUCUGGGAAACUGCCUGAUGGAGGGGGAUAACUACUGGAAACGGUGGCUAAUACCGCAUAACGUCGCAAGACCAAAGAGGGGGACCUUCGGGCCUCUUGCCAUCAGAUGUGCCCAGAUGGGAUUAGCU